rnacentral:tRNA from 1 species
GUCCCCAUAGUAAAGUAACAUACGCUAGAGCUCCUGCCUUCUAAGCAGGCAAUUCAGGUUCGAUUCCUGAAGGGGACA